GUUGUUUGCAUGUACAUUGGACUUUGAACUCGAUAAGUAAUGUACAAGACUACCUUCCUCGGAAGCUGCUUCUUGGAGAUUUACGUCCCCAGUCCCCUCAGAACUGACCGUGGGGCUUUGAUUUUGGUUUACGACUCCUUGCUUUAUCCAUUGCCACCUUCAGAGAUUCCCUAAUGGCAAACAUCUCUUGAUUCACUUCUUCCAAUCUCUCCAAGGUUUUCAAUUCAGACUCCCUGGCCAUCUCAAUAUCAGAAUUAACAGCUACAACCCUCAAAUUGGCUUGCUCUUCUGCCUCAUGGGCACGUUUACUGAGUUCAUAGUAUUCCUCUAAAGAAAGUGUCACCCCAUUGGAAGGGUCUGCAUCAAGGUUUCUUCUAGCUGACUCACUCUCUUGCAACGCUUUGAUUGUUGCUAUGGCCAACUUCUCAGACGCCCUGGCUGCCUCUAUCUCCUUUUGAGUUGCAAGUAAUUUGCUUUCCACUGUAGUUGCUGCAGCCUUGGCUUGCUCUGCUUCAUCCUUUACUUUUCGCAGCUCUUCACGAGCCACUCGAGCAAAUGAGUUGACCUGAUCAGCAUUUUCAGCUGCUUGUUGUAGUUUUUCAGCAGCCUCAAAUUGUUUUCUGUACCCCGGGAUCUCCUCUUGUGCUUUCUGGAGUUCUUGUUCUACAUGUUGGCGUCUCUGUACAACCAUGUAAAAGUCUCCUUUUCAGAUAUAGUGAUUGUGAGUACUAAUAGUUUAUCUUAGGCUUGGCAGGAUGCAAGCGAGGAAGACAGUUCCAAUUUGCUUGCUAAUGAAAUUUAUUCCAGAACAAAGUACCAUUUAUACACAUAUUUAAACUUUAUUUCCUGCUUUGAUAUUGUCCAAGGUUAUUUAAUAAACAAAACUUCCUCUUUCAACUAAGGCAAAAUAUUUGGCCCAUAAAAUUAUUACUUAGGCCAAACGAGAGGAAGUUUCAGGUUGAAGACAUCCCCCAAAACAACAUUACAACAACCAUUAAAGCUAUAGCUAUUAUUUUCAUAUUUCUCCCCAGGAUCAAGAUUCUUUAGGAAGCAACCAAAGCGGCCAAAAGAUUUAUUUCCUUAUGAAGCACCAAAUUUGGAAACACAGAGAGAGAGAGAGAGAGAGAGAGAGUAACUUGAAAAAGGAAAAUGGUGAUAUUAAAAUAUGAAAAUAUAUAUAAGAGAUCCUUACUUCCACUGUUUGGUUUCUAUGAGCCUUCCAGUCCACGAUUCCUCCAAAUUUGGAAACAGCUGCUUUGACAGAUUCAAUUGGAGCUGCGGUAUCAAUAUGGCCAACCUGCUUGGCCCGUGUAGGUGUGUCGAUCAUUCCCAAGACAUCAGUUUCAGCAUUCACAACCUCUACUUCUGGUGGACUGAUAUUUAGUUCGUCGAGAUCAUCCUGCAAAUCUUUUACUCUAGUGGAGGAAGUUGAUAUUGCAAUCUCAUCAUGAUCAUUAGUGUUGACCAUUCCCAAGACUUCAACAGCAGGACUGGCAAUUUGCAUAUCAGAUCGUUCCCAAGACUUCAGUAGCGGCAGUAGGAACAUUUACUUGAGGUGGAUCUCUCUUUUGUUCAUAGUUGCCAUUUUGCAAAUCUUUGGCUUCUAAAGGGGAAGAUGAUUGUAUAAUCUCAUUGUGAUCAUCGGUCUGAACUGUUUCCAAGAAUUCAGUAUCAGAACUACUAGCUGGUGUUUGAGGAGAACCAAACUUUAGUUCAUUGUGGUCAUUUUGAAGACCUUUCAUCUCAGAAGAGGAAGCUGGUAGUGUAAUCUCAUUAUGAUCUUCACUGUCGAUCGUUCCCAAGACUUCAUCAGCAGCACUGGUGACCCUUAUUUGAGAUGGAUUACUUUUUUGUUCACUGUGAACAUUCUGCAUAUUUUGUGUUUCAUGAUAGGAAGCUGAAAUAAUUUGGUUGUGGUCAUCACUACUAUAAGUGGCAGUUUUGCUACCAUCUAGCAUUUGUUGCCUAUCCGAGAAAUUGUGUUUAACUUCUGGUCCGGUAUUUUCAAUGACAAUUUCCUGAUUGCUUCUUUCUUUCACAGCAUCCAUAGAAUCUGAGGUUGAAGUUGAAUUAACCGCAGGAAAAAAUUCAUCUUGCCCUGCAAUUUGACCAUCCAAAGCAUGUGGUGGUGAUGUAAAUUCAGUCUCUGUAAAAUUUGUGAUAGAUUUCACUUUUCCGUUGCUAAGUUGAUUGGCUGGAGCUUCAAUGUAAGAAUUUGUAUCUUCAGAAGUC